rnacentral:rRNA from 1 species
UGAAUACGAGACGCUAAGGCGUCGAAGUAGUGUAUAUCAGACUUCCAAGAAAAGCUUGCACUGUCAUAGAUAAAAAAUGCCUGUACCAUAACCGACACAGGUGGGUAGGUAGAGUAUACUAAGGGGCGCGAGAUAACUCUCUCUAAGGAACUCGGCAAAAUAACUCCGUAACUUCGGGAGAAGGAGUGCCUUAUUUAUAAGGUUGCAAUAACAAGAUCCAAGCAACUGUUUAUCAAAAACACAGGUCUCCGCUAAGUCGUAAGACGAUGUAUGGGGGCUGACGCCUGCCCAGUGCCAGAAGGUUAAAGAAGUUGGUUAGCAAUUGCGAAGCUGAUAACUGAAGCCCUGGUGAACGGCGGCCGUAACUAUAACGGUCCUAAGGUAGCGAAAUUCCUUGUCGGGUAAGUUCCGACCCGCACGAAAGGCGUAAUGAUUUGGAUACUGUCUCGGAGAGGGGCUCGGUGAAAUAGACUUGUCUGUGAAGAUGCGGACUACCUGCACCAGGACAGAAAGACCCUAUGAAGCUUUACUGUAACUUGAAAUUGAAAUUGGACUUUAUUCGCGCAGCAUAGGUGGGAGGCGUUGAUUAUAAUCUUGCGGGAUUAUUGGAGCCAUCAGUGAGAUACCACUCUUGUAAUGUUAGAUUUCUAACUUUGAAUCAUUAUCUGGUCAAAGAACAGUUUCAGGCGGGCAGUUUGACUGGGGCGGUCGCCUCCUAAAUGGUAACGGAGGCGUACAAAGGUUUCCUCUGAACGGUUAGAAAUCGUAUCUAGAGUGUAAAGGCAUAAGGAAGCUUGACUGUGAGACCUACAAGUCGAGCAGGGACGAAAGUCGGUCUUAGUGAUCUGACGGUACUGAGUGGAAAGGCCGUCACUCAACGGAUAAAAGUUACUCUAAGGAUAACAGGCUGAUCUCCCCCAAGAGUUCACAUCGACGGGGAGGUUUGGCACCUGGAUGUCGGCUCAUCGCAUCCUGGGGCGGUAGUACGUCCCAAGGGUUGGGCUGUUCGCCCAUGAAAGCGGUACGCGAGCUGGGUUCAGAACGUCGUGAGACAGUUCGGUCCAUAUCCGGUGUAGGCGUUAGAAUAUUGAGAGGAGCCUUCUUUAGUACGAGAGGACCGAGAAGGACAUACCUCUGGUGUACCAGUUAUCGUGCCAACGGUAAACGCUGGGUAGCUAUGUAUGGAGUGGAUAACCGCUGAAAGCAUCUAAGUGGGAAGCCCACCUCAAGAUAAGUAUUCUCA